rnacentral:rRNA from 1 species
GAUGAACGCUGGCGGCGUGCCUAAUACAUGCAAGUCGAGCGAACAGACGAGGAGCUUGCUCCUCUGACGUUAGCGGCGGACGGGUGAGUAACACGUGGAUAACCUACCUCUAAGACUGGGAUAACUUCGGGAAACCGGAGCUACUACCGGAUAAUAUAUUUAACCGCAUGGUUCAAUAGUGAAAGACGGUUUUGCUGUCACUUAUAGAUGGAUCCGCGCCGCAUUAGCUAGUUGGUAAGGUAACGGCUUACCAAGGCAACGAUGCGUAGCCGACCUGAGAGGGUGAUCGGCCACACUGGAACUGAGACACGGUCCAGACUCCUACGGGAGGCAGCAGUAGGGAAUAUUCCGCAAUGGGCGAAAGCUUGACGGAGCAACGCCGCGUGAGUGAUGAAGGUCUUCGGAUCGUAAAACUCUGUUAUUAGGGAAGAACAAAUGUGUAAGUAACUAUGCACGUCUUGACGGUACCUAAUCAGAAAGCCACGGCUAACUACGUG